CAUCCUGUGGCACAGUGUGUCAGGGCAUCUAGCUGUUAAGCAGAAGGUUAGUGGUUCGAGCCCACCCAGGGAUGG